rnacentral:rRNA from 1 species
GGUUAAGCGACUAAGCGUACACGGUGGAUGCCCUGGCAGUCAGAGGCGAUGAAGGGCGUGCUAAUCUGCGAUAAGCGCCGGUAAGGUGAUAUGAACCGUUAUAACCGGCGAUACCCGAAUGGGGAAACCCAGUGUGACUCGUCACACUAUCAUUAACUGAAUCCAUAGGUUAAUGAGGCGAACCGGGGGAACUGAAACAUCUAAGUACCCCGAGGAAAAGAAAUCAACCGAGAUUCCCCCAGUAGCGGCGAGCGAACGGGGAGGAGCCCAGAGCCUGAAUCAGCAUGUGUGUUAGUGGAAGCGUCUGGAAAGGCGCGCGAUACAGGGUGACAGCCCCGUACACAAAAGCGCAUGUGCUGUGAGCUCGAUGAGUAGGGCGGGACACGUGGUAUCCUGUCUGAAUAUGGGGGGACCAUCCUCCAAGGCUAAAUACUCCUGACUGACCGAUAGUGAACCAGUACCGUGAGGGAAAGGCGAAAAGAACCCCGGCGAGGGGAGUGAAAAAGAACCUGAAACCGUGUACGUACAAGCAGUGGGAGCACCCUUUUGGGUGUGACUGCGUACCUUUUGUAUAAUGGGUCAGCGACUUAUAUUCUGUAGCAAGGUUAACCGUAUAGGGGAGCCGUAGGGAAACCGAGUCUUAACCGGGCGUUAAGUUGCAGGGUAUAGACCCGAAACCCGGUGAUCUAGCCAUGGGCAGGUUGAAGGUUGGGUAACACUAACUGGAGGACCGAACCGACUAAUGUUGAAAAAUUAGCGGAUGACCUGUGGCUGGGGGUGAAAGGCCAAUCAAACCGGGAGAUAGCUGGUUCUCCCCGAAAGCUAUUUAGGUAGCGCCUCGUGAAUUCAUCUCCGGGGGUAGAGCACUGUUUCGGCUAGGGGGCCAUCCCGGCUUACCAACCCGAUGCAAACUGCGAAUACCGGAGAAUGUUAUCACGGGAGACACACGGCGGGUGCUAACGUCCGUCGUGAAGAGGGAAACAACCCAGACCGCCAGCUAAGGUCCCAAAGUCAUGGUUAAGUGGGAAACGAUGUGGGAAGGCCCAGACAGCCAGGAUGUUGGCUUAGAAGCAGCCAUCAUUUAAAGAAAGCGUAAUAGCUCACUGGUCGAGUCGGCCUGCGCGGAAGAUGUAACGGGGCUAAACCAUGCACCGAAGCUGCGGCAGCGACACUAUGUGUUGUUGGGUAGGGGAGCGUUCUGUAAGCCUGUGAAGGUGUGCUGUGAGGCAUGCUGGAGGUAUCAGAAGUGCGAAUGCUGACAUAAGUAACGAUAAAGCGGGUGAAAAGCCCGCUCGCCGGAAGACCAAGGGUUCCUGUCCAACGUUAAUCGGGGCAGGGUGAGUCGACCCCUAAGGCGAGGCCGAAAGGCGUAGUCGAUGGGAAACGGGUUAAUAUUCCCGUACUUGGUGUUACUGCGAAGGGGGGACGGAGAAGGCUAUGUUGGCCGGGCGACGGUUGUCCCGGUUUAAGCGUGUAGGCUGGUUUUCCAGGCAAAUCCGGAAAAUCAAGGCUGAGGCGUGAUGACGAGGCACUACGGUGCUGAAGCAACAAAUGCCCUGCUUCCAGGAAAAGCCUCUAAGCAUCAGGUAACAUCAAAUCGUACCCCAAACCGACACAGGUGGUCAGGUAGAGAAUACCAAGGCGCUUGAGAGAACUCGGGUGAAGGAACUAGGCAAAAUGGUGCCGUAACUUCGGGAGAAGGCACGCUGACACGUAGGUGAAGUGAUUUACUCAUGGAGCUGAAGUCAGUCGAAGAUACCAGCUGGCUGCAACUGUUUAUUAAAAACACAGCACUGUGCAAACACGAAAGUGGACGUAUACGGUGUGACGCCUGCCCGGUGCCGGAAGGUUAAUUGAUGGGGUCAGCGCAAGCGAAGCUCCUGAUCGAAGCCCCGGUAAACGGCGGCCGUAACUAUAACGGUCCUAAGGUAGCGAAAUUCCUUGUCGGGUAAGUUCCGACCUGCACGAAUGGCGUAAUGAUGGCCAGGCUGUCUCCACCCGAGACUCAGUGAAAUUGAACUCGCUGUGAAGAUGCAGUGUACCCGCGGCAAGACGGAAAGACCCCGUGAACCUUUACUAUAGCUUGACACUGAACAUUGAGCCUUGAUGUGUAGGAUAGGUGGGAGGCUUUGAAGUGUGGACGCCAGUCUGCAUGGAGCCGACCUUGAAAUACCACCCUUUAAUGUUUGAUGUUCUAACGUGGACCCGUGAUCCGGGUUGCGGACAGUGUCUGGUGGGUAGUUUGACUGGGGCGGUCUCCUCCUAAAGAGUAACGGAGGAGCACGAAGGUUGGCUAAUCCUGGUCGGACAUCAGGAGGUUAGUGCAAUGGCAUAAGCCAGCUUGACUGCGAGCGUGACGGCGCGAGCAGGUGCGAAAGCAGGUCAUAGUGAUCCGGUGGUUCUGAAUGGAAGGGCCAUCGCUCAACGGAUAAAAGGUACUCCGGGGAUAACAGGCUGAUACCGCCCAAGAGUUCAUAUCGACGGCGGUGUUUGGCACCUCGAUGUCGGCUCAUCACAUCCUGGGGCUGAAGUAGGUCCCAAGGGUAUGGCUGUUCGCCAUUUAAAGUGGUACGCGAGCUGGGUUUAGAACGUCGUGAGACAGUUCGGUCCCUAUCUGCCGUGGGCGCUGGAGAACUGAGGGGGGCUGCUCCUAGUACGAGAGGACCGGAGUGGACGCAUCACUGGUGUUCGGGUUGUCAUGCCAAUGGCACUGCCCGGUAGCUAAAUGCGGAAGAGAUAAGUGCUGAAAGCAUCUAAGCACGAAACUUGCCCCGAGAUGAGUUCUCCCUGAGACUUUAAGUCUCCUGAAGGAACGUUGAAGACGACGACGUUGAUAGGCCGGGUGUGUAAGCGCAGCGAUGCGUUGAGCUAACCGGUACUAAUGAACCGUGAGGCUUAACCUUACAACGCCGAAGAUGUUUUG